CCACAGCUUCGAUUCACUGCAUAAUUUAGCCAUUGAAUCAUAUAUAUAUAUAAUUGCCUUAUACUUUUCUUUUUCCUUCUAACCAAACACACUCUAAAAACUCUUCCUACUAUUUUCUUACAAAUUUAAGACACCCAACAAGAAGCAUGUUAUUGCACCAUCAACACAAUAAACAAAAAAGAUCAAAUUUCCCAUAAACCCAGCUUAACUCCAAGUUGACCUAUCACCACCAAUCAAACAAGCAUAGAGUUCAUCAAUUUGCAACACUUCAUGAUCUUCAUGAAAGC
rnacentral:lncRNA from 1 species